AGCAAGGUUAACCGAAUAGGGGAGCCGGAGGGAAACCGAGUCUUAAUUGGGCGUUAAGUUGCAGGGUAUAGACCCGAAACCCGGUGAUCUAGCCAUGGGCAGGUUGAAGGUUGGGUAACACUAACUGGAGGACCGAACCGACUAAUGUUGAAAAAUUAGCGGAUGACCUGUGGCUGGGGGUGAAAGGCCAAUCAAACCGGGAGAUAGCUGGUUCUCCCCGAAAGCUAUUUAGGUAGCGCCUCGUGAAUUCAUCUCCGGGGGUAGAGCACUGUUUCGGCUAGGGGGCCAUCCCGGCUUACCAACCCGAUGCAAACUGCGAAUACCGGAGAAUGUUAUCACGGGAGACACACGGCGGGUGCUAACGUCCGUCGUGAAGAGGGAAACAACCCAGACCGCCAGCUAAGGUCCCAAAGUCAUGGUUAAGUGGGAAACGAUGUGGGAAGGCCCAGACAGCCAGGAUGUUGGCUUAGAAGCAGCCAUCAUUUAAAGAAAGCGUAAUAGCUCACUGGUCGAGUCGGCCUGCGCGGAAGAUGUAACGGGGCUAAACCAUGCACCGAAGCUGCGGCAGCGACGCUGAUGCGUUGUUGGGUAGGGGAGCGUUCUGUAAGCCUGCGAAGGUGGCCUGUGAGGGUUGCUGGAGGUAUCAGAAGUGCGAAUGCUGACAUAAGUAACGAUAAAGCGGGUGAAAAGCCCGCUCGCCGGAAGACCAAGGGUUCCUGUCCAACGUUAAUCGGGGCAGGGUGAGUCGACCCCUAAGGCGAGGCCGAAAGGCGUAGUCGAUGGGAAACGGGUUAAUAUUCCCGUACUUGGUGUUACUGCGAAGGGGGGACGGAGAAGGCUAUGUUGGCCGGGCGACGGUUGUCCCGGUUUAAGCGUGUAGGUGUGUGUUCCAGGUAAAUCCGGUUCACUUUAACACUGAGGCGUGAUGACGAGGCACUACGGUGCUGAAGCAACAAAUGCCCUGCUUCCAGGAAAAGCCUCUAAGCAUCAGGUAACAUCAAAUCGUACCCCAAACCGACACAGGUGGUCAGGUAGAGAAUACCAAGGCGCUUGAGAGAACUCGGGUGAAGGAACUAGGCAAAAUGGUGCCGUAACU
rnacentral:rRNA from 1 species